CGUAGGGAGCAAGCGUUGUCCGGAUUCACUGGGUGUAAAGGGUGCGUAGGCGGGACAAUAAGUCAGUGGUGAAAUCUUACGGCUCAACCGUGAAACUGCCAUUGAUACUGUUGUUCUUGAGUUCGGGAGAGGUUGAUAGAAUUCCAGGUGUAGCGGUGAAAUGCGUAGAUAUCUGGAAGAAUACCAGUGGCGAAGGCGGUCAACUGGCCCGAAACUGACGCUGAGGCACGAAAGCGUGGGUAGCGAACAGGAUUAGAUACCCUGGUAGUCCACGCCCUAAACGAUGAAUGCUUGGUGUUGGCCGGAAACGGUCAGUGCCGGAGGUAACCUGGUAAGCAUUCCACCUGGGGAUACGCUCGCAAGGGUG
rnacentral:rRNA from 1 species